AUGACAUACCAUGCCCUUUACCCAUCACAGGCCACUUCUUGGCUGUCCCCAUUAUGGAAAGCCUCCGUCUCUUUAAAGAUUAAGAUUUUUGUUUGGCAAUUACUACAGGAUCGCCUCCCCUCAGGGACAGAGGUUCUUAAGCGGCACAGACCUGGUGAUGGUUUAUGCCCUCUCUGUGCGGUACCUGAGACCGGGACACAUAUCCUCUUCUCAUGUACUGCGGUGAGGGUACUUUGGACGUACGUCCGCGAGGCGUUGGGGCCUGAAUGGGAGGCCCUAAAUCUCGCGGAGUUUCUCCAACAGAGAGCUUUACAGCCGUCACGUUACCGCCGCCUAUUUUUGGCUUAUUUUUGCGGUGAUGGCAUGGAAUCUUUGGACGACUAG
rnacentral:rRNA from 1 species